rnacentral:rRNA from 1 species
CCCUUAGACGUUCUGGGCCGCACGCGCGCUACACUGACCAGUGCAACAAGCAUCCGUCCUUGGCCGACAGGCUCGGGCAAUCUUUGAACGCUGGUCGUGAUGGGGAUAGACUUUUGCAAUUUUUGGUCUUCAACGAGGAAUUCCUAGUAAACGCAAGUCAUCAACUUGCAUUGAUUACGUCCCUGCCCUUUGUACACACCGCCCGUCGCACCUACUGAUUGAAUGACUCGGUGAAAAAUUGGGACUGUGAAAACAAUUGAUUCAGUUCAAAUGUAUUCGUGGAAACUUUUUUUAACCUCGUUAUUUAGAAGAAGGUGAAGUCGUANCA